rnacentral:rRNA from 1 species
AUUGAACGCUGGCGGCAGGCCUAACACAUGCAUGUCGAACGAGUGGCGGACGGGUGAGUAAUGUCUGGGAAACUGCCUGAUGGCGGGGGAUAACUACUGGAAACGGUAGCUAAUACCGCAUACCAUCGGAUGUGCCCAGAUGGGCUGAUCUAGUAGUGGGGGUAAAGGCUCAACUAGUCGACGAUCCCUAGCUGGUCUGAGAGGAUGACCAUCCACACUGGAACUGAGACACGGUCCAGCCUCCUACGGAAGGCAGCAGUGGAGAAUAGUGCAAAAUGGGCGCAAGCCUGAUGCAGCCAUGCCGCGUGUAUGAAGAAGGCCUUCGGGUUGUAAAGUACUUUCAGCGGGGAGUCGUUACCCGCAGAAGAAGCACAGGCUAACUCCGGGCCAGCAGCCGCGGUAAUUC